CGGCACAUUUCACUCUCUGGUUCUCUGUGUGUGGGAACGUGGACAUGUCUGAUGUGCUAAACGAACGCUGGAGGUAAAUUAGCAGAGUGGCUGCACGGUGCCAACCCUGCCAGUCGCCUUCACACAGCC